GGCGCCCGGCCCCGCCCCCCGAGGCGGCGGUUGGAGCUGUCGCCGUUAUUUGCAAACCGGGGCGUUGGUGGCGGCUGCAGCUUUUCAGACAUGUCGACUGUGGUGAGCGGCCUGCCCGGCUGUUUUUGUGCAGAUAGCCGCGUUAGGAGGAACAGACGCUUCUCGGAACUUCUGAUCCUUUCAUCCAGUGUCGGCGCCCCGCGUCUCCCGGGGAGCAGGGUGUGGGACCCGACAAGGUCAUGGGCACAACAGAGCAAGUUUCAGCCUGUGUUUGGGCAAGCAGUGAAAAAUGACCAGUGUUACGAUGACACCCGGGUUUGUCAUGUGGCCGGCCAUAGUUCCUUUUGCACAUAAUCAAAAGAGGGAGUAUCAGAGGAGUGUUCCUUGUGCUUUCUUUGCAUAAGGUCAUGAUAAAGUCCUUGGAGCUGAUGGAUUAAGGCUUGCUCUGGCUGCGGGAAUGCUUCCAGAAGAGCUGGAUCCUAGGAGGGAGGGUUUCCAGCACCCGGAUGCCCGCAUGGAGAAGAUGCCCUUAUCUGCCGUGUCUGCUGGCUGCUGAGCAGUUACCACUUCCCACCUGGCUCCUGCAAGGAGAGACGCUGUCGCCCACUGAAGCUACAUGUCCUCCAGGUCUCCAUGUUCAGCUUCCAAAUGGGACUGUAGGGGUUCACUGAGAGUGCCCAGGUUCCUCCUUGAUCUGUUUUACUGUCAACUGGAUGUCUCUUGCUGGCUGAAAGGAAGGCAGGGCAGGCGAGGGUCUCUGGGUGGUCAUGGCCAUCUGUUUUCUCCAAGCCUCCCCAUUCUGGUGAUUGGCCAUGUAAUUUACCGCCUUACAGAGACACUUUCAAAAGUAAAAGGUGGUGCUAUCUGUAAUUAUGUGAGAAACAGCUAUGAAUAGGGCUGUCCAAGGCAAAGUGGGACAUUUGGUUGACCAAGGCUUAUAGAACCCUUGGGUCAUCCUCUGUCUUCCAGUUCACCCCUAUCACAGCAACAAUGGGCAGCAGUUCUCCAAAUGACCACUCCUCCUCUUGGGAAAUAUUCAGAGUCCUCAUCUGUCUCAUGGGGAUAAUAUUAGUACUUACUACAUAGGUACAUGGUUCAGCUCUUGUGAGGCUGAUUUCACCUAUGCCAGACACUGGUAACCGUGCACAAAGGGAUAUAUUUAAGUAUCCAUUGUAAUAGCCAAAGCCUGAAAGAUCCUAAAAAUUUGUCAAUAGGGCACUGGUUCUUUCCUGCUCGGAUUAUGAUGCAGCUGUUAGAAACAGUGAUUAGAUUGAGAAUGACUGCCUGUCAUGGGAGGGCAGGGUUGUGUCCAUGGGGUGACCCCAAAGUCAAAAGUAGGUCAGGAGGUCGCGUCUGCAGACACAGCGGUUGAGUGGGUAGGACAGUGCAGAAGCAGCGAUUGGUGGGCUGAUGGAGAGAGGGGCACUAGGUCCCUGGUUGGAACUGGGCGCUUUGAGGAGGAGACCGGAGAAUCUACUGUUGUGGGUGUAUGUGACUGCAUUUAGCAGGUGCUGGGAGCAGCGGGGAGGGCAGAACCAGCAUCUGCUGUAGCCGUGACUAAGGUCCUGGGAUGCAAAGGGCCUCCUUCCUCCCCCUUCAGAGGAGCUCACAGUGGGCUUGAACAUGAAGGGGGAAGGAACUGAGCAGCAGCUGGAGAAGCGGGUCAGUCAGGAGUUGGGCCCCUCAUUUCCCAUCCACACCUGGUGUGAGGGAGGGAUCAGAAAGGACAGUAGACCUAUCAGACGUUUCAGCCAUGUCCAUGCCUGACAGAGGGAGGAAGGAGGGGACAGCAAGGUGAAAGGGGCUGUGACAGUAAGCAUGAAGGGUGCCUGGAAGGUACGCUGUCAGUGAGGAGAGGAGUGGGCCUGGUGAGCUGGGCUUAUCCAAUAAGAAGGAUCUAUAGGGAUGGCCACUCCAGCAGGUUCUAGGACACCCUGGGCCCAGGGAAUCUUGCUUCUCCCUGUGUCUCAGCUGUGCAUUAAUGCUGGGGCUGGAGAGGUAGCUUUAGGAGCAGUCCCUGCAGCAGGCAGGGGGAAGGAUAAGGCAUUUAUGAGUCCUCAUGCCCUUUCCCCAGGCACACUGGGAAGACCUACCCCGUGAAUUCACCCCAACUGAGCAUUGCGUUGAAUUUUCUUCAGAUUUUUGCGCGUGUGUGUGUGUGUGUGUUUUUAAAUUUUACAUACACACAAAAAAUCUAUAGAACCCUAGCUUGAGAAACGGUGUCAUGAGGUGACCAGGCCCUCGACAGGGCUCCCCAGAAGCUGAGGGUCCCGAGAGCUUGGGCAACUCCCAGUCAGGCUGGGAUCCUACAAGGUCCCCUACUUGAUGGCAGGCGUGCCCACGUGCCCAAAGGGAGGUAGAGCAGAGCCAGGUGAGCUGUGUUGCUUGCAUCUGACAUGCCUCUGGAUCUCCCACCCCCUUUCCCAGCUGCCUGGAGCAGAGGCGAUCAAGGUGCCACUCAGGGUCUCACCACGGGCAGUGCUUGACUGGGUGCCCCCUGUGGACCCUAAGGGGAUGGCAGGGCUGGGUUGGCUUCUGCAUGAGAUGAUGUUGAAAGCUUUCAGGGACAAUCUUCACAAAAUACUCCAUGUGAAUGGCACCCCUCGAAGUUAUUCACAUGGCCACUCUACUGCCAUCCUCUCCAAAUUAUGGCAGCCAUUGGACAGCUUAGCCUUAGGGCUGAAGCCCUCACCACCCCUAGGGCCUUCUAUGGAAUGGGCAUCCCUUCCGCAUGGAAGGUGUUCUCCAGACACUCUUCACUUACCUAAACUCAUUUUUAUGAUGUCUCCUCUUCCAUAUACAUGUAUAGCACCCAGAAUCUUGGUAUUAUUGGUUGCGUUGCUUUCCCUGAAGUGCCAAAAUGAAAAUUAGGGAAGCAGCGGUGCACAUGGGAAUGUUUUUGCCUUCCCCUCCUCAUAGUACCUCAUCCACACUUACAUUUCCUCUUUCUCUCCUUUUAUAUGUCCAUUGGAAUGAGGAGGAAGAGGGUUUCUGCGCCCACCCUCCUUGUGGGGCUCUCCUGAUGGCUGGAGGGAAGAGAACAGUUGUGCAUGUCCGGGGCCACUAAGUGCGGUACGGCACCUGUGUGGGGGUGCCCAGGCCAGAACCCCACUUCACAGUGCCCCCUCCGCAGAGUAUAUCCCAGCGCUUCUGACUCCCAGCCCAGCUCCCUGCCUGGGCCAUCAAGUGUUGUCUAGCGUGAUUCAGUGGUGCAGGCUGGGGUUCAGAAACCAGGGCAAUGCUAAGAAAGUGGGUUUGGAGGGCUGGAGAGAGGUUUUAUAGGCACUGAAGAUCCAAGGACCUCCAUUGCCUAGAUGAGGUCAGCUACAAGGAGAGCCUAUGAAUAAGAGAGGCAGACAGAGAGGGAGUGAGAAUAAAAAUCAAACAGAAAGAGAAAAUAAAUUACAAGCAGCUUGCUGGUCUCUUCUUCAGAAUCUCUGAAGUAGUUCUUUGGGUGGAUCACAGAAAUGAUGACAAUGGUUUUGCCUUAGGGCGGCCUGUCUUCUCCCAAAGCCCAUAGUUGUGCUGGGUAAUAUACAGCUGCAAAGCCAGAAGUAAUGGCUUCACCAGAGACGAAAACAGCUGAGGUGCCAACAAGGCCAGCUGUGUGCUGACAUGGGUGCCCAAGUUGGAAGUUGUGGGCAAUGAAUCCUCAAAAGCUGAGUGUGCUGGCCAAGGCUGGCCUGCCUGGAGUGGAUCUUGGGGCUGGGCUGGGCUGCUAGGAUUCCCAACCGGAGUGAGUUGUUAGAGGUCCGGUUCUGUGCUGCUGCCCAUCCGGGGCCCUGAUUGUGGGCUGGGUUGUACUCCAGGGUAAAUGGAAAGGUUCAAAUUUAGGGUGGGACCACAGAACCUCAGCACAGGUGGGCUGGUUGUUUCUGGGUCUGAUGCCGUACUGUCAUGGGGGGCAGUGUCUGAAGGGGCUGGUCAAAUGGGAAGAAGCUCCCACUGUAGCUAGUGGGAUGCCCCAAGAGAAGCAGCUGGGAAAUUGGGGUGAAGUCUGUGGGGAUGACCCAAUGUCAGAAGCAGCCUGGAGACACGGUGGUUGAGGGGCUGGGACUGGGUGCAGUAGCUGCCAUUGGUAGACUGAUGGAGAGAGGGUCACUAGAUCCCUGGUUGAAACUGGGAACUGUGAGGCGGCGACUAGAGAAUUUACACUCAUGGGUGUAUGUGACUGCUGGGAUCAGCGCGGAGGGCAGAACGGGCAUCUGCUGUAGCCGUGACUGAGGUCCUGAGAUGCAAAGGGCCUCCUUCCUUCCCCUUCAGAGGAGCUCACAGUAGGCUUGAACAUGAAGGGGGAAGGAACUGAGCAGCAGCUGGAGGAGCGAGUCAGUCAGGAGUUGGGCCCCUCAUCUCCCAUCCACACCUGGUUUGAGGGAGGGAUCAGAAAGGACAGUAGACCUAUCAGAUGUUUCAGCCAUGUCCAUGCCUGACAGAGGGAGGAAGGAGGGGACAGCAAGGUGAAAGGGGCUAUGACAGGAAGGGGUGGGCCUGUUGGGUGGGGCUUCUCACUACACAAAGGCUCGAUAGGUGUGGCCCCUCCAGUAGGUUCUAGGCCUAGGGGGUCCUGAUUCUUGCAUCUCGUCUACUAUGGAUUAAUACUGGAGCCGGAAGGGCAGCUGGUGGAGGAGCAGUCCCUGCAGCAGGCAGUGGGGAGGACCGGGUGGUUCUGAGUCCUCAUGCCCUUUCCCCUGGCCCAUUGUGGAGACCUGCCCAGAUCCUGCUGGGGUGGGGGCUGGGAGAGACAUAGUUACCAUGUGACCCAGCACUCCCACCCCUAGGUACUGAGCCAAGAGAAAUGAAUACUUUGGUUCACACAGAAACCUGCACGUGAAUAUGUGUGUGUGUAUUGUUACAUUUGCAGUUUUACCUGCUUUAUGCAUCUCCUAGAUGAGAGACUAUUGAGAUUACCCAAUUUUUCUUGAGUGGCUUUGGAACUGUCUUUAGUGAUUGCUCUGGGGAUAACAAAUAUAUAUACCGAACAUUUCACAGUCUAAUUAGAGUUCAUAUCUUACCAAUUCUGGUAAAUUGUAGAAGCCUUACAGUCAUAUAAAUUUCUGAUACCCCCAGUCUUUUUAUUACACUUGUCAGAUGUAUUAACACGUACAUGAACUGAACCCCACGUAUAUGACUGAGACUGUAACGAACGAGAAAAAAGCUAAUAUAAUAAACGUGCUUUUGUUGUUGGGUGCCACUGAGUCGAUUCCGAUUUGUAGUGACCUCAUGUGACAGAGCCGAACUGCCCUAUAGGACUUUCUUGGCUGUAAUCUUUACGGGAGCAGAUGGUCAGGUCUUUCUCCUGAGGAACCACUGGGUGGGAUAGAACUACCAGGUUAAGCCGAGCACUUAACUGUUUUGCCACCAGAGCUCCUUAAUAAAACCAGGAGCUGUAGCUAAAGCCAUAUGCCCAUGAGGAUAGAGAAAUGUAAAAUACAUUGAAAAUUCAUUACUAUAACAGUAAAUGACCCAAAUAUAAAUUUGGAAAAACAGAGAAAACCCAUGAUUGAAAUCAACAACAAGAAAUUUAAAUUUAAUAAUUUUAAGAAUAAAAUAUAAAUUAAAAUAAAGUAGGAGCCCUCCCUGGUGGCGCAGUGGUUAAGCGUUUGGUUGCUAACCAAAAGGUUUGCAGGUUGAAUGAACCAGCGGCUCCUUGGAAACCCUAUGGGGCAAUUCUACUCUGUCUUAUAGGGUCACUAUGAGUCAUGAUCGACUUGAUGUAAUAAAAGUCACAACAGAUAAACACUAGGACAGCUGCGGCUUCUUGGAGACAAGGCUGAAGCCUUCAGGUCCAAGCCUUCACUGGUCUCGAGACCAGAAUAUGUGACACAGACACAGGGGCUGGAAUCACUGGGGAGGCAUUGAGAGGGGCAGAGGAGGGGCGUGCUGGGUGGACUGCGAGACUCAGAAGGUCUUGGGACUCAGAAGGCCUUGGGACUCAGAAGGCCUUGGGACUCAGAAGGUCUUGGGACUCAGAAGGUCUUGGAUUCCUUAUUUUCAGGGGUCAGGAGAGUAGGGAACUGAGGCCUCUUUGCUGCAUUCUGUUGACCGCAGAGGUGUCUAUAACUGUUCCCCAAAAUGUUUUCACCUGGGAGCUUGGCAGGGCAGACUUCAGUGAACAUACUACAGCAGAAAGGGAAGGAGUCUGGGAUCUAGGAUAAGGAGGCAGAGCCCACCCACCUGGGGCAUUUGGGUGGUCUGAUGGAACAGGUGUGGAAGUGAUGAUCACACCCGCUCUGCCCUGACAUCAAUAUAAUUCAGUCUGGGGUUCUUCACAUUACGCCCGGACAACUUUUUGGAGCUCUUCCCUUUCCCCCCAAUGGUUAUUUUUCUUUCUGGCGCCACCACCACCAAACCUUGCCCUUGCCUUUCAAUUAAAUAAAAGCAUUAUGCUGUGGUAACGAAAACAACGUUUAUGGAUUUAGUGUAGUCCCGUGUGAAAAGGUUACAGAAGAUACUGCUUUUUGGUAUGUACUAAAACCAGUUCUAUUAUUUACAAAAUUGAAAAAUAAAAGGGUCGUAAAUAGGUACCUUGUAAUCCUA